AGUGAACGCUGGCGGUAGGCCUAACACAUGCAAGUCGAACGGCAGCACAGUAAGAGCUUGCUCUUACGGGUGGCGAGUGGCGGACGGGUGAGGAAUACAUCGGAAUCUACUUUUUCGUGGGGGAUAACGUAGGGAAACUUACGCUAAUACCGCAUACGACCUACGGGUGAAAGCAGGGGAUCUUCGGACCUUGCGCGAUUGAAUGAGCCGAUGUCGGAUUAACUAGUUGGCGGGGUAAAGGCCCACCAAGGCGACGAUCCGUAGCUGGUCUGAGAGGAUGAUCAGCCACACUGGAACUGAGACACGGUCCAGACUCCUACGGGAGGCAGCAGUGGGGAAUAUUGGACAAUGGGCGAAAGCCUGAUCCAGCCAUACCGCGUGGGUGAAGAAGGCCUUCGGGUUGUAAAGCCCUUUUGUUGGGAAAGAAAAGCAGCAGGUUAAUACCCCGCUGUUCUGACGGUACCCAAAGAAUAAGCACCGGCUAACUUCGUG
rnacentral:rRNA from 1 species